CGUCGAGAGGGGCUACGGUGGUGCUUGCGGGAGCGAUGGGAGGGAACAACGUGAACCUUUAGGAGAUUGGCUGAAAUUUGAAGUUGCCUAGACUUUAGGAACCUAUUCCUACGAGGAUACAGAUUCUAAGAGGAUUUCAAGAGUUUGAGUUGGAGUUAGUCUCAAACUGGAAACCAAAUCUAAUAUGGGAACUUAAUGGAUAAAGUAUACGAAGGUUUUGAUAGGGAAGGAAUCACUAAUUUAAUCUAUCUGUUAGCAUAUUUUCCUAAGAUGAUAAU